CAUCUUUUGAUUUAUUUCUCGAUGCUUCCCCUUUCUGCUUGUCACUUCUUCCUGCUUCUCACUUCUUCCCCACCACCGACCAUCCCAAAAGACCACCAUAUUGUGGCAGCCAUAUCUCCCCCUCAAGUGUUUCUGCCCCUGCUUCUCACUGCCGACUCGCUACUGAUGGAAGCCGCCACCCCGCAACAGCCUCCUCUCCUCUCCUGGGAAAAGACUCGCACGCACCGCCACCGUCGUCGGCUCGCCUCUUGCUGGACACCGCUAACAGGCUAGUUCUACACGUUCUCUUCUCGAAUCGGAGAAUAUUUUUCUGCUAAUUGUAAAUUUUUCAAUUUAAUUCGAAUCAAAACCCUAACAGUUUACAACUUUCAGACACCAACUUUGUUAAUUUGACACUGCCGGAAAAUCUAAGCGGGUGUUCUCUGUAAAGACGAUCUUUCAGAUGCCAAUAUUUUUCAGUAUCAGGGCCAUUCGAGGACCCUCAUCAGUGUUGAAGCCAAGCAUCAAAAGAAUGGACUAAAACAACACAACGUACUUGUAAUAGAUCCUGGUCAUUCAGGUUGUUUGCUGGUUGUUGACGUUAGUUGACUACGGAUGGUGCACAGUCUCUUGUUGGUCUGCAGUGGUUGCAGAGAUGUUGUAGCUUGCUAAUUUGUUUUGCAGGGGUUUGUGUCAUUUUUUCAUAGUAGUUUUUUGUUGGUACGGGUGGUCUGCUUCAGUGUUAACUUGUGGUUCCUGCUAGGCAGCUGAUAUGUUAUGUAUAGCCGAUGGCAACAAUGAUGUAAGUGUGGUAUUGCUAUGACAAUUGUGCGUGUUUUAGUUGAGGUUGGUGGUUUAAUUUUCCUGCAGUUGUGUGUGUUAUUUCUAGAAAUCCUCAACACAUAUCUGCCUCCAAGUCUGUUGGUAUAGUUGAACUUAGUGGUGUCCCUAGACAUUCGAAUUUCAAGGAGUUUCUCAUUCUUGUAGGUCCUAACUUUCGUGUCUAGCCAAACAAAUCCUCUACUUUGAUUAGGCCUCCAUCAAUGGUUGAUGUACUCCUUUCUUUUAUCCCACAAAAAGGAAGAGGUUGCGACCCCAAACACAAUGUGUUUCAACUGUGUUGUCUCUUCUUCAUCUUGUAAUCGCUGGUAAGAAAGCCGACGAUCCUUGAAAUUGAUCGUUAGUCAUAUUCCUCUGUCAUGAGGAGGGGGAACAAUGUUUUAAUUAUUAUUUUAUAAGGUGGAAUAAUUAGAUAAAGUGAGGGAUUUCCCUAUGUUUUCAAGCGUGGAGAUGUAAACUAAAUCUCUAUAAAAGUAAACUAAAUUGUUGUAAA